rnacentral:misc_RNA from 1 species
AAGUCGUAACAAGGUUUCCGUAGGUGAACCUGCGGAAGGAUCAUUAAAACGUAUCCACGUAUCAACCAACUGUGAACUUGUUUUCAACUCUCCCUGCCUUAUACAUGAAUUGGAAUUCAAUCAAGUAAUGAUGAGGAACUUCGGUUCAGCUUGAUCGAAUCACUUGACUCUCGGGUCAGACAAUUGUAGUAUGAGCGUCAGGCAAACCCUUUCUACUAACAACUUCUCUCAUCUUGAAGGAGUUAGUGGGAUACUAAUAACCUAUUUCACCCCCUUUUUGCUAGUUGACUUUUAUAUGUUGUCUUUUUCGUACUUUAUUGUAUGGAGAAUUCACACGUUUAUUAUUUGAACGUUAAAAUUACAACUCUUAGCAAUGGAUAUCUUGGUUCUC